rfam:Myotis lucifugus cont2.6126, whole genome shotgun sequence.
GGCAGUUUUCCGGUGACACACCCCGGAAUUGGGCUCCCUCCUCUCUGGUUUCAGGGUGUGUCACCCAAGAACCACC